UUUAAAAACACUCUACCUUUGAUACAGCCUGGAAAUAUUUUAAGAGAAUAUCUGUUGAUACUUAAAAUAAAUUAAAAUAAAAGGAUCAGCCUAGUUCAUGAAUAGCUGUGAAAUAAUAAUCAAGAGCCUAGCUUAUGUUUCAAGAAGGAAGCUGAAAUCUGCUGGCCUAGUGUUUAGAUGCUAGAAACAUACUAAUGGUAAUACUAGUAGUCUUUGUAAUCAUAGUAAGUGACAAUAACAAUAAUAAUAUGUCAGUAACUGCUGAACCUCUCAGCUAUGGUUAGAGAUGUGUUGCUGUGCAGGUCUGGCCCGGGGGCAAAGUUUCUGGGCUUUCCUGUGGUUUUCCAGUUUUCCUCUGGACUGUAAACCCACCUUCAGCCCAGGAUGUGGUAUAAUUGACACUAUAGUAUAAACAAAUGUGAACGUCAAUGUGAUCCCUGUUUUAGGGAGGUGCUGUCCAAAUCCUAUUUUGAUGGUGGAAUGCAAGGUAAAGCUGCUGAUGCUGGGCUUUAAGGUGGGAGGAGGAGUGGGGUGAGGGGUGGUAUUUGGGGGGGUGCAGACUGUGUGAUGUUGAGGCUUAUUAGUGGCUCUUCCACAGCCCUUGAAACCAUACUUUAACAAGUGAAAAGCUUUGCAAACUGUAAAGGACUACUAGACACCAAAACAAAUUACUUUUCUUAUUAUUGGUGACCAGGAGCAGAUACUGAUGCCACAGGAAGAGCAGAGGGAGCUGGAGGAGUGAAGGCUGAGAGGACUCAGGCUAGCAGAUAAGGAACCAUUGGGGCAUGACUCCUCAGAGCAGAGGACACAGGAGCAAGAAACCAAACUGAACCAAGCAAUCACAUUUAAAUUUUUUUCUUGGAUGACUUAUGCCAUAUUUGCUCAUGUUCCAUUGGCCAAAGCAAGUCAAAUGGCCAAACUCAACAUCUAUGGUGUAUGGAAAGAUACUUCACUAUGGGGAGAGCAUUUCACUGAUGCUAAAGAACCUUCCCUCAAAAAUCUUUUGGCUUAAUCACCCCCUGUGAAUAAGGAGCAGGCAUCAUCAUUUUACAGGUAAGGAAAAUCAUAGACAGGUGUGAAGCUUGCACUUGAACUUCUGAUGAUGAGCUUCCCCUUCGUCCCACGGCUUCUAGACAAGGAGCCAAAUGAGUGGAGCAUGCACAUAAGGAGCAAGAACUGUCACGAGCUCAGGCAGCCAAGGAGCCUUCGUAGAGACCAAACUCACUUGGGCCAUGGAUGAGUGUAUAAUGAUGAGUUCUCAAUCUUUGAACCAAUCCCACCAUUUUUGGACAAGUUUUACAUAAAAGUUGCCAAUUGUAUAAAUUGAUAAAAAAAAAGAAAAGCUAUUUUAUUAGCAUACAUUUAUUGUCAGGUUCAAAUGUAUGACAUUCACGUAUCAAAUUAAUCUAUAAGAACAAUGAAGCCAUUUUGGGAAAUUCUGGGGCUUGAUUCAGGGACAGAUAUCAAAGGGGGCCAGUGCAGUCUUGGGUCUAGUGUGUUCCUGUAGUUUGUUUAGCCUGCCUAGUACAAUGAACUUCUGUCGUUCUGCUGCCCACUCUAUUCCCCAUUUCCCAUCUCGCAUUUCUGGUCACGUGGCUCUGGAGUUGGUCCCCCUCCCAGCUACAGAGGUGGGUCUGGGAGCCAGGGCCAGGAAACCCUGGGAAACAGGAGCUCUUCCUGUGCCAAAGAAGCCAACUCAGGGAAAGCUUUGCCAAGGGAAAGAGGGCAAUGCGAUGCCACCAUAAAAGUGUCUAGAUCUAGCUGGAACUUAAUCCAUCCCAACCCCUGAAAUUUUCUGCUAUGCAAACCAGUAAUAUUUGUCUUUCAGGCCAAUUUGACUUGAAUUUCUGUCUCUUGCAACCAAAAUAUUUCUGACUAACAUACCCAGGAGUAAGGAAAUCUGAUUCAAACAGAUAAGUAGUUGCAAGUAAUGAUAGUUUUGAAAGCAGUUCAUCUUGCAAUGUCAGGAAAUUCUUUAUUAAAAAAAAAUAGGAGCAGCUUUACUCCAAAUCUAUGCACAUUCACACAUGAAAGUUUAACCUGCCAUACAACAUAAUAUGUACGAUAGAAACUGAUGAAUGGAUA